rnacentral:tRNA from 1 species
GGGCCCGUAGUCCAGUCUGGCAGGAUGCGGGGUACGCCAAUGCCGAGGACUUGGCGCCCGACUCGGGUCCCUGUGGUCGGGGGUUCAAAUCCCCCCGGGCCCA